CAAGUAAGACAAGUAAUCGCAGCUGCAGACGCCGAAAGGCAGCAGGUGAGGAAAGUCCGGGCUUCACAGGGCAGGAUGCCGGAUAACGUCCGGUGGAGGCGACUCCAAGGCCAGUGCAACAGAAAUGUACCGCGUUUGCAAUGAGCCAUGCGCCAUGGAAAGACCAGAGACAUAGUAAGUUUACUUAUGAAUGUCUCUGGUCUUUCCAUGGCAUACGGCGAAUGCCGUGUAGCGAGAAGAGCGAAGCGAUUGGAGCUACGAGCAUGGCGUGUGGCUCAUUGCAAACGUAAGGGUGGAAGGGCAGUGUAAGAGACUACCGCCCUGCUGGUAACAGCAGGGGCACAUGUAAACCCCAUCCGAAGCAAGACCGGAUAAAGACAAUGUGGCGGCCCGUCACGUCUUAGGUAGGUUGCUUGAUCUCACCGGUAACGGUGGGGCUAGAUAGAUGAUUACUCAACGACAUAACCCGGCUUAUCGUCUUGCUUGUUGA
rfam:Dorea sp. CAG:317, WGS project CBGJ01000000 data, contig: 103